GACUGCUCUCUGCCCACGAAAACCCCGUUAUUAAAAGUAUUAUCUGAGGUUAACGUUGUUGUUAAGCCUCAGAGUAAGCUGUGAAGCCUUAUAUUGUGGCCUUAUGUUAGGGACCUAGCAGAUUGCUACGGUUGCUACCGGGGAGAAAAAUUGUGACAGUUGCUAAGAGGUAUGGCUAUAUGUGUAUCCUGAAAAGGUUACGGUUGGUCUAAUGAGACUGAGAGUAAGUGGGAGUUGGCAGUUGACAUUUGGCAGUUGGAGUGCAGCUGGGAGCUGACAGAAGAAGAGAGCUGAGCGCCAAGGCCAGGGAAAGGAAGAAAAUGCUGGGGUCACAGAGAGGAAACAGAAGAAGGAGAGGAGGAAAAGAGAGCAUCGUCUGAGGCAGCCUUCCAGGGAGCUUACAGGGGGAAAUGCAACCGCUUUGUAUUGCCUGAGCCUGCUUCAAGAAGAUACAGCAAUAUUUUUACAGAAUACUUUAAAGCCAGCCAACCCUCCACCAGAUGAGCCUGGAUGAAAGAGGACCAAAGAAAAUACUUCCGAUUCAGUCAAGCCAUCAGUUGCCUGUGAAGCUAUUUCCACGAUCAGUAGAAAGCAAGCUAAGGGAACCUAGCCCACUUUCUACUGAUCGUUGGAACCACCGGACUCGCAGGCCCACCUAAUUCCCCCUCCCUUUAAAUGGGGUUAAUGGAGUGAGCACUCCAUUGACCUCUGUUUCUUGCUCAUGUGCCAUGGCGGCACAAGGUGACACACGAGUAGACCCCCAACUGGGAGGCAAGCCUCCUGGCCUAGGGGGUAUCUCCAGAAUGCCCUGUGCACUCGUGCAGGUAUCCCGGGCCCGGCAGCUCCUGAUCCCCCCCCCAGCCCCCACCAGCUCCGUGACGGAGCUGGCAGUCAUAUGGGAGACCGAUCUGGCCACCCGGGCUUGGGGGCUGCUCAUUUGCAGGGAAACUCGCUCUCCCUGCAGACUCACCAGAAGCUCUUCUCACUGAUCGAGAAGAGCUUCCGAGGCUUUGUAAGCCAGAAGAACAUCCAACAACAGCGUUGUUGGCAUCCACAAGGGGAGGAGUUUAAGCACAGGGAAUUUGGCUGAAGGUUUGAAUUAAGGGAGUGACUUAGUCCAGGUCUGCAGCCACUAGCUUUAGGAAACAUGAACCUCACAGCAUAUAAAUUAAGAGAACAUCUGUAAUCUAUAAAUAUAGUUUAUAAUAUAAUUUUAACUUAAAAGGCAUCUUUUGUUUAAAUAAACCUUUAUAUCUUUUUGGUUUAACUUCGUUGGUUUCCUGAUUGGUUCAUUCUCAUGCCUAGUGCCUAUCCCUGUUACUGAAGGAAUAUAGUAAAAAGAAAUUUUGUGAAUUAGGUUAAAAGUAAUUAGUGAAAGCAGAAGAACUUUAUGAUUGAGGUACAAGAAAGAGGUAAUGGAACACAGGUGAGGACAGAAGCUGCCACAUUCCCUUUUUUAAAUGGUGUUGUCCAGUCCUGAAUGUUUUGCUUCUGUUUUUGUUUGUUUUGUUUGUUUGUGCUAGUUUACAGCAGCAAUCAGAUGCAAGUAGGCUAGCUUUCCUUGGGAGAAGUAGGACAGCUUGAGACAUGAUGCUUACAACAUAAAGUCACAAGAAUAAAAGGGUGUUCAAAUCUCAUGCAAAGUCUUUUUGAUGGUUUAUGCAAACCUGCUAUGUGUUGCUCUUUGAACAAAAACCCUAAAAGAGAUGUCUUUCCAGACUUCUUAUAAUUUAAAAGCAGAUGACAGAAAACCUUGAAAGGAUGAGAAGAUUAGAUUUUUUUUACAGCUGGUGUUUGUAUCGGCCCUUAGUUUAGUGUUCUCUCUCUCUCUUUUUAGCAUAACAUUUUAGUCAGUUCUUAUUUCAUGUAAUCCAUCUAAGUGGAAGCAGUGCAUCCACUUUCAACUAAAAAAUAAUGAGAUUCUAUCCUGUCCUCCCAUCACGGUUUUCGAAGGACUUUUUCUCUCCUGUAAACACAGAAUGUUUAUGCAAAUAGACUGCAGCGACUGUUUUAAGGUAAUCAUGUAGCAUCUUUUUUCAGGGUACUUUCACACAAUCAAAGCCAGAUCUUCACACCACAAACCAAAUAUGGGGCCGAGUUUCUGCAUGGUAUGCACUGUUUUCUAAGUCUUGGAAGCAACUUGAGUCCUGGGGCCUCCAUCGCUACUUUUGCAAGAAGGAAGCAAUGCCAGGUCCCUCCCAGUACUAUGAGGCAAAGCAAGAGAGGGGGAAUGAAGUAGAUCAUGAGUGGGAAUUUAUCAAGGUGGAGCACCAAGAGCAGCUUGACAGGUCCCAUGAUCUCUUUUUCACACCUACACAACCCUAUGGAAUCUGCCCACAUGAUCAGAUGGCUACUUUCAUCACUCUAGUCACUGGAUGAAUAUGCAGUGCUAAUUCCUGUCUUGACAUUGGUGACCUAAUUUCUCGUUCCCUCCUGAAAAAGCUCCUUGAUGAAAGAGCUAUGAUGAAAGAGUAGAACUAAAGCAGUACAACAGAGCAGAAACGAGAAGAUGGGAAUGAGAAUGAGAAGAAAAAAGAUCCGCACAGCAGACUUCACAAACACAGUUGGAUGCAAGGAUCUCCACGUGAUCAUCUGCUAUACCAAAGUUAAGUGCUGAGUAGAAGGCCUCUCAUGAUAUAGUGAAAUUUAAGGAAGUUCUAGAAAAUGGAGAAAUAGGCUGCCUUCAGAUGUAGCAUGAAAUCUCGGGCAGAUGAACCUUUGGUUAAUCUGUCAGCCCAGGAAUAAUCCUGUAGAUGAUAGUUGAGCCAUAGUCUCACAGCCUCUGGCUUGUGGCAGAGGGGGCCCUCCGUCUUCCUGGUCUGCCAAGGCUGCAUCCCAGAAAGCUCUGUAGCACUCGUUUCACCAGACUGCAAACAAGGCAUCAGGACAUCAGUAAAGCAGCAACCAUUGGCCAUGAUCUUCAAGGGGGCAUGCCCAGUACGACCAUGCCUUUUUGGAUUCAAUCGGCCACCCUUGUCAGGGAAAGGGCAUUCAAACCCAUUCCUCACACCUCUGCUCCUGCUAGGACCCUGCAGCCAUACAGUCUUGCACAAGCACAACUACUGGUAUCGAGGGAUGCAGAGGGGCACUAGUAUUCUGUUAUUAAUGGAAGGGGUCAUGAUGACUUCCUAGGAAGGAACAAGUAUAUGAGGCAGGCGAAGGAUCCUGGGGUUUGGUCCACUGUGACGAAGGAUGCUCUUGGAAUGGUAGGCCUGGGCCAAGCAGUCCAGGAAGACCCAACACACUCCUGCCCCUGUGUUGGAUUGCUGGCCAGAGAUUAGCCCUCUCGUGAGAGGACCAGUCCACUGAGAAGGACCAGAGGCCCCAUGAGCUUCAAGUCUCCAUUGGACUGCACUCUCAUGAGAUAUACUUUCUCCUAUGAUAACUGGUGGCACUAAUGCUGGCCUACUUGCCUAAAGAAGAAAAAUAUUUUCCUCCCUUGAUGUUCUGCACCUCAAAAUUAUUUAGAAGUCUCCGACAAAAUGUUUGGUUAUUUCCCAAUCCUUGUGAGUUACUGAAAAUAUUUCAUCACAUACUGGAAAAAUGGCUUCCUCUAGUGCUUUCACUGGCACAACUUACAUGACAAUGGCUGAGAAUCCAUGAUUAAACAGGAGAAAGUGCUAACUUCAUAAUGAAAUCAACCAUGUGGAUAAUGUGGGCAACUUCCUGCCAUGCAACUUCCUGCCAUGCCCACUGAGUGCACCUGGCUCAUCUCUAACAUCCACAGAUAUCCACAUAUAAUAGGAAAUGUUCCCCAGUUGCUUUACUUCGAUUUCUUCAUUCAAAUGCUCUACAAUUUCAUCACUAUCUUCUCUAUUUUGACAUCAAAUAAUCAACAAAUAUUAGUAUUAAGAAAGGGAUGUUCCUGAUAUUCUGGACCAAAACAAAAUAUUUGAAAUCUGAGGAGAUUCUGUCAUAUCGGAUGAUGGAAAGAAAUGGAACAGUUCGAGACUUUCCAGCAUGCAUACUAUGAGAAAGAAGGAAGAGAGCCUGAGCUCAAGAGAGGAACUGGAGAACUUUGAUCCGGCUUCCAGUUUUGACCUCACAGAGGAGGCUGAUGAAAGUAAUGGGCAAUCCUUGGUACCAGAGGAAAAAUCACAAACAGCUCCUGUGCCAAAGAAGUGUACGUGACAGGAGAUCACUCCAAAGACUUCAAGACUUUGUUACUAAAUUUUAAAUCAAUUCAAUGCUGGUUGUUAUAAAGGGGAGGGAUGUUUUGUAUUCUAUCUAGUAGUCUUUUAUGUUUUGUGAUUGUAGAAGUUUGUCCCAGUGGGGAUCCUGUAGAGUGUGUGUGGGUGCAGCCAGAAAAGAAAAGGGAGGGAAAGGAGAAGAAAAAGGGAGUUGCUUCAGAAUAAAGUCUUAG